AAGCUGCCCACUGACAUGAUUCUGAAUUUGUUCACCUAAUUUUUAAGACUUUGCAUAGUUUUUUCCUACGUAACUUUAUUUCCCACAGCUCCUCAGUGCUAACCCUUCUACACACACAUGUGUACACGUGUGCAUAAGUGUGCAUGCAUGCACAUGGGCACCUACACACCUACUUCUGCAUGUGUGCAUUAUGCCCUGCAACAUCAACCCCCUUUAGCUUGGCUACCUCCCCUGCAGUUUUGGAUGUUCUUUGUAAUCCUUUCUUUGCCUGUUUAACCCACCCUGUAAGGAAAACUUGUUUACCACCUCAGAUAACAGUCCAUGGUAAUCUCUCCUUCCAGUCUCUGCACAGGCUGUUAUUUUCAGAGACAAGCCGCAUUUUCCAGAUCCCUCAGGGUUCCAGGAUCCCUCCGGACUCAAAAAUCUUCGGAAAACAAAAGCAGAACUGAUUGCCAGUAAAGCACAGCCCCUGAGGGCCCAGCCUGCAAAGGCUGCUGCCGCAGCCACUGUCCCAGGGACCACAUCGUGCCUGGAUUCAUGGUUAGCUGGGCGGAAGGAAAAGCACCCGCCAAUUGGCUGUGACCACAGAGGUCAACCAUACGUACAUGUGGUAGGACCGGCACAAUAAAAGCAACAGGAGACAGGGAGCAAAAAGGCUGCGGUGGAAAGCUGGGUGUGAUUAGAAGUGACGAUGGCAGUUGGGAGUAGCGGACACUCGGAGAAGCAAGUAGAUGAUGAAGUGCAGAUACCAGCUCUGUGGCGAGCCAGUGGACAUCUACACAGUGCCAUUGCUGGCGAGAGUACGCAUGCCUAACCACCUCAUGGGCUACUCACUGACUCAUGGAGGGGUGCUUUCGACCUCACCUACAGGACACCACGCUGGGCAGCAGGAGUGGCCAGCUGGGUUUGAUUUGCAUCUCUAGCUCCUGAGAGGAGGGCACGUUGUCCCUGGUGAGGAAGGCAAUUCAUCCUCUCUGAAUAAAGCAAAGGAAGUGUUUUGCUGUUAAGAUGAACUGGACCAUCCUUUGAUCUUGUACGACAGGUGAGUGUAGGAGGGGAUGAGCAUCAAUGGUACUUCCUGAGGGACUCUGUGCCAGCACUCUGCUGUCUUAUUCACCUUUGUACCCAGCUUACAGUCUGUGACUUCAGCCCGGCAUUGUUCUUUAUUGAGGUGCACACUGUCUUUAGUGCUCACAGUUGAAUGACGAUCUUGCUUUCUGCUCAGCUACGUGCUUAAUGGACUGAGAGUAAGGGACCAUUAUUCUCAGUGGAACUUGCUCUAAAAAGUGGACCCUGAUGCUGGAUUCAGUUCUGAGCAUGACGACCUAAGCCUGGAAGAGCCAUACACUCCUGCUCGCUGGGUGGCACAUUGUGCAGCCAAUAUCAGACUGCAGGUUAAGAAUGCAAAAUGCGCCUGACCGGCGUGGCUCAGUGGUUGAAUGUCCACCUAUGAGCCAGGAGGUCAAAGGGUUGC